rnacentral:rRNA from 1 species
AUCGGAUCUCAGAUUAGGUAAGACUACCCGCUGAAUUUAAGCAUAUAAUUAAGC